rnacentral:rRNA from 1 species
GUGCUUAACACAUGCAAGUCGAACGGAAAGGCCCUGCUUUUGUGGGGUGCUCGAGUGGCGAACGGGUGAGUAACACGUGAGUAACCUGCCCUUGACUUUGGGAUAACUUCAGGAAACUGGGGCUAAUACCGGAUAGGAGCUCCUGCUGCAUGGUGGGGGUUGGAAAGUUUCGGCGGUUGGGGAUGGACUCGCGGCUUAUCAGCUUGUUGGUGGGGUAGUGGCUUACCAAGGCUUUGACGGGUAGCCGGCCUGAGAGGGUGACCGGCCACAUUGGGACUGAGAUACGGCCCAGACUCCUACGGGAGGCAGCAGUGGGGAAUAUUGCACAAUGGGCGGAGGCCUGAUGCAGCAACGUCGCGUGCGGGAUGACGGCCUUCGGGUUGUAAACCGCUUUCGCCUGUGACGAAGCGUGAGUGACGGUAAUGGGUAAAGAAGCACCGGCUAACUACGUGCCAGCAGCCGCGGUGAUACGUAGGGUGCGAGCGUUGUCCGGAUUUAUUGGGCGUAAAGGGCUCGUAGGUGGUUGAUCGCGUCGGAAGUGUAAUCUUGGGGCUUAACCCUGAGCGUGCUUUCGAUACGGGUUGACUUGAGGAAGGUAGGGGAGAAUGGAAUUCCUGGUGGAGCGGUGGAAUGCGCAGAUAUCAGGAGGAACACCAGUGGCGAAGGCGGUUCUCUGGGCCUUUCCUGACGCUGAGGAGCGAAAGCGUGGGGAGCGAACAGGCUUAGAUACCCUGGUAGUCCACGCUGUAAACGGUGGGUACUAGGUGUGGGGUCCAUUCCACGGGUUCCGUGCCGUAGCUAACGCUUUAAGUACCCCGCCUGGGGAGUACGGCCGCAAGGCUAAAACUCAAAGGAAUUGACGGGGCCCCCCACAAGCGGCGGAGCAUGCGGAUUAAUUCGAUGCAACGCGUAGAACCUUACCUGGGUUUGACAUGGAUCGGGAGUGCUCAGAGAUGGGUGUGCCUCUUUUGGGGUCGGUUCACAGGUGGUGCAUGGCUGUCGUCAGCUCGUGUCGUGAGAUGUUGGGUUAAGUCCCGCAACGAGCGCAACCCUUGUUCACUGUUGCCAGCACGUUAUGGUGGGGACUCAGUGGAGACCGCCGGGGUCAACUCGGAGGAAGGUGGGGAUGACGUCAAGUCAUCAUGCCCCUUAUGUCCAGGGCUUCACGCAUGCUACAAUGGCUGGUACAGAGAGUGGCGAGCCUGUGAGGGUGAGCGAAUCUCGGAAAGCCGGUCUCAGUUCGGAUUGGGGUCUGCAACUCGACCUCAUGAAGUCGGAGUCGCUAGUAAUCGCAGAUCAGCAACGCUGCGGUGAAUACGUUCCCGGGGCUUGUACACACCGCCCGUCAGGUCAUGAAAGUUGGUAACACCCGAAGCCGGUGGCCUAACCGUUGUGGGGGAGCCGUCGAAGGUGGGACUGGUGAUUAGGACUAAGUCGUA